GUUUGGGUUUUCGGAAUUUAGAGAUGCAGUCAAAAGAAAAUACUUAGCAGAUGAAAACUUGAGGAAAAAGUAUGUGCAGUGCAUAGCUAAUUAUUUUGAGGGACAAAAACAGAAACUAUCAAAGCUGCACACAUUGAAGAAUAGUGAAUUCGCAAGAAUAUCUUUAGAACUGCCAUUUGCAUAUCAAACCUUACAUGAAACAGAAAAAUUAGCAGCGACUUUGUGCGACUUGUCAGUGCUGAGUUAUCUAAUAG